AUGGCCAGGAUGAAGGUGCGGUAACACGCACUGGAGGUCCGAACCCACUAAUGUUGAAAAAUUAGGGGAUGAGCUGUGGAUAGGGGUGAAAGGCUAAACAAACUUGGAAAUAGCUGGUUCUCUCCGAAAACUAUUUAGGUAGUGCCUCAAGUAUCACCAACGGGGGUAAAGCACUGUUAUGGCUAGGGGGUCAUCGCGACUUACCAAACCAUUGCAAACUCAGAAUACCGUUGAGUGCGAGCUUGGGAGACAGACAUCGGGUGCUAACGUCCGGUGUCGAAAGGGAAACAACCCAGACCGCCGAUUAAGGUCCCCAAGCCAUAGUUAAGUGGGAAACGAGGUGGGAAGGCUUAGACAGCCAGGAGGUUGGCUUAGAAGCAGCCAUCCUUUAAAGAAAGCGUAAUAGCUCACUGGUCGAGUCGUCCUGCGCGGAAGAUGUAACGGGGCUCAAACUAUGCACCGAAAUCGCGGAUAUCCGUAAGGAUAUGGUAGGAGAGCGUUCUGUAAGCCGAUGAAGGUGUCUUGAGAAGGAUGCUGGAGGUAUCAGAAGUGCGAAUGCUGACAUGAGUAGCGAUAAAGGGAGUGAAAAGCUCCCUCGCCGAAAGCCCAAGGUUUCCUGCGCAACGUUCAUCGGCGCAGGGUGAGUCGGCCCCUAAGGCGAGGCUGAAAAGCGUAGUCGAUGGGAAACAGGUCAAUAUUCCUGUACCUCUUUGUAAUGCGAUGGGGGGACGGAGAAGGUUAGGUCAGCCGGGUGUUGGACGUCCCGGUUCAAGCGUGUAGGCAGACCUCUUAGGCAAAUCCGGGGGGUCAAUGCUGAGGCGUGAUAACG
rnacentral:rRNA from 1 species